GACGAACGCUGGCGGCGUGCUUAACACAUGCAAGUCGAACGGAAAGGCCCUGCUUUUGUGGGGUGCUCGAGUGGCGAACGGGUGAGUAACACGUGAGUAACCUGCCCUUGACUUUGGGAUAACUUCAGGAAACUGGGGCUACUACCGGAUAGGAGCUCCUGCUGCAUGGUGGGGGUUGGAAAGUUUCGGCGGUUGGGGAUGGACUCGCGGCUUAUCAGCUUGUUGGUGGGGUAGUGGCUUACCAAGGCUUUGAUGGGUAGCCGGCCUGAGAGGGUGACCGGCCACAUUGGGACUGAGAUACGGCCCAGACUCCUACGGGAGGCAGCAGUGGGGAAUAUUGCACAAUGGGCGGAAGCCUGAUGCAGCAACGCCGCGUGCGGGAUGACGGCCUUCGGGUGGUAAACCGCUUUCGCCUGUGACGAAGCGGGAGUGACGGUAAUGGGUAAAGAAGCACCGGCUAACUACGUG
rnacentral:rRNA from 1 species